rnacentral:lncRNA from 1 species
GCGUCGUUGCUCCAAGACCGAGACCACCGUAAGCGGUGAUGUCAAAUCCAGAGUUCGGACAAGGCAGUCGUUGACAGGACGGCGAAGAAGAGCGAAGGAGAGACACUAAGAAGGACAAAACAGAGGCUCCGGCGCCGGCACGGACGCUCACGCGCCGGCCGCGCGCCGAACCCCAAACUAGAUCUCGCUUUUCUCUCUUUUCUCUCUCU